CAAAAAUGUACUCUACUUAAAUAUGGUAGAUAAAAGAUAUUGAGCUAGUUUUCAUUUAAUUUUGCUGACAAGUCAAUAACUAGAAGAAUGGGUUCAAGCUAAAAAAAAAUACGUAUUUUCAAAAGAAAAGGAAAAAAGAAAUAAACAAAAGAUUAAAAAUCUGCUUUAAAAAACCCUCUAGAAACUGAGGCAGACAGAAGGAUGCUGCCAAUUCCUCCAUCAAAACUGCUUCCCUUGGCUCCUAGGCCAGAUACUACCAGAUUUCCACAGACCUAGCCAACUCUCCUUCCCGGAAUCCCAUCUAUUCCAGGAAGCACAGGAAGAAAGUACUGAGGAUGCUGCCACAACUGCUGACACGGUAAGAGCUGGGCACUGGGGAGGAGCUGUCACUGUGGGGACACAUCACCUCAGGCUGUGCAUCUAGCAUGGGGAGCAGGCUCCACUCCUGGGGGGCCUUGCCCAGCUCCAGACACAGGCACAGAGAAGACAUUCACAGGGGCCUUGGUAUCUGAUAAGGAGUAGAAGCCCAGGAAUUCUAGGCCUAGAGCUGCGUACAAAUUAACAUGCUGAGGUCAAGAGCCAAUGGGGAGACUGAAGCCAGGGGUGAGCAGGGUGACCCAGAGACAAACACUCAGGAUAAAGCUCAAGAUGAUGAAGGCCUGGCAGGAAAGUGGCCUGGUUGCACCUACUAGUAUUAGUCUGCUCCAGCUGCCAUAACCAAGUACUGCAGACUGGGUAACUUAACAGAAAUUGGAUCCUGGGAGUCCAAGAUCAAGGUGUCAACAGGACUGGUUUCUCCUGAGGCCUCUCCCCUGGGCUUGCAGACAGCCACCUUCUCACUGGGUGCUCCCAUGACCUCUUUGUGUGCAAAGGGGAGAGUGAGAUUGUGAGUCUCUCUUCCUCUUUUUAUUAGGACAUCAGUCCUACUGGAUUAGGGCCCCACCCUUUUGACCUCAUUUAACUUUAAUUACCUCCUUAAAGGUCCUAUCUCUAAAUAUAGUCACAUUAGCAGUUAGGGCUUCAACUAUGAAUUUGCAAGGAUGCAAUCCAGUCUGUAACACUACUCUUCUGGCUUCUCCAGAGAUGCCAGAAAUCCACUUAAAAUGUGAAAUGUCCUAAUCUGUCAUUUCUGGCAACUUUUCACAUUAAGUGAAGCUGAUACAUAGGCCCAAGGACACAAGGGGCCCAGGGUUGUAAGCUCUGGUCUAAAGGGAAGUGCUCUCCUGCUGGCCUGGUCAGCUGCACUGGGUUCCCAACUGUCAGGACCAGCUGCUGUUCACCAAUCACUCCCCUAGGAGAAAGGCUGUGGGGGUCAGGGUGGCUGGGACUGCCAGCACCACCUCCUCCAGACCCAGGUUCAGAAGACGAGCAGGGCCCAGGUCAAGAGGAGGUUUUAUGCAAACAGAAUAAAAAUUUCACUUUUUGUUUGCUGGGGGUGGGGUGGGGGGUGGGGUUUCUUUUUAGGACCACGCCCACAUCAUACAGAGGUUCCCAGGCUAGGGGUCAAAUCAGAGCUGUAGCUGCUGGCCUACACAGCCACAGCAAUGCCAGAUUCUAGCCUCGUCUGUGACCUACACCACAGCUCAUGACAAUGCCAGAUGCUUAACCCACUGAGUGAGGCCAGGGAUCGAACCCACGUCCUCAUGGAUACUAGUCGGUUCGUUAACCACUGAGCCACAACGGGAACUCCAAAGACUUCAUUUUUAAGGGUUUCUCACAUGUUGUGAGUUAGUAAAGAGCAAACAAGUUCCAAUAACUCAAACAGCCCCAGAAUGAUCUCUUUCCCUGCUCCCCCGCCCCCUGCCAUUUAUCGCUACCAGAAGCAGCACAUGGAAUUGGUGGUACUCCUAACGUACGUUGUAUAUGCUCCCAAGUUAGAUCUUCAUCCAAUGCUACUGACAAACCUGAACAAACAGACAAGGCAUCAGGUUUUCUGCCAAAAGCAUUUACCCUUUGGCAAAGUGUUGGCAGUCUCUUGAGUGCUCCUUGUAAAAUCUAACAUUUAAUUGAACAGGCAUAUUUAACAUUUAGUUAAGAAUGCAUCUUCUUGGACUAAAAACUUAAUGUGGCUAAUAACAUUUUGCUUUGAAGGAUAAAGCAAGGCAAACGAGAGACAUUAAUCCUAAAUCAACAGCUGCAGAUAGGGAUUACUUCCUUAUCUGUAAAUAAGGAUGGAACUCCUUGGGUGGGGGGUGGGGUGGGCAAGAGAAUUCCAGUCUGUGUGACUCUGUGUGAUGGGCGAGGUCGCACUUUGCUGAGGACAGCCAAGAUGCCAAGGCGCUCGGCACAGGUGGGACAGCUGAACAGGUGAAGGUGGGUCCAGCCUCCCACUGGCCUGCCUGCAACCCUCUCACCAGUUUUCAGCUGCAACCAAUCACCAGUUUUCAUCCUCCCACUGACACGGAAACCAUUGCUGUGACAUCGUCUGGCUUUUGCAGGGCACCCAUGGGUCACUUGCAAGUUAGAUCUGCCUGUGUUGGUCCUUUCUGGCUUAACAGGAAAGCACUACUAGGCAACAGUAUGGUCACAAACAGGGACACAACAGAGAACAGAAUCAUGUGAGUCUCUGCUGUGAUGCUUAUGCAGGUGACAGAGAAUACACCUACACCAGUUUUCCUAGUGAAACUGCCAACUCAAAUAAAAGCAAUUCUUAUAGGAAACCCUCGGUUCCCAGUUGGGCCCUCAGGAUUGAAUUCAUUAAGAGGAUUAGAAGACUACUCACUACAAGCAUAAAACAUUUACAAAGAAUGAAGAAGUAUGCACAACAAGAAACGGUCCUGUCUGGAGCUGAGGCCAGUCAGGGCAGCUACCUGGAGGGUGAGGGAGUUCUGGGAAAGGUUUUGGAGGGUUUUGGUGAUUGUGGAGAUAAGAUAAGCAUCUCUGUUGGUGUCCCUGUCUAUAGCAGACAUUGCUGUGUCCGUUCUCACAUCCAUUAUGUAAGCCCCAAGGCCACUCAGCCAUGGGGCUCCUCUCAUAUCCCAGGGAGUGACGGCCAGGCCUGAAGCCAUGCACAGCUGAAUGGGCACUGCAUUACAAGACACAUAAAGAGAGGGGAGCCCGGGCUGCAGGGCAGGUGAGGGCACUGCCAGGAGAAGGCAGGAGAUGAAGAUGCCAGGACCUGGGUUUCACCAGUGGAGACCUGUGGGCUCAGAUGACCAUUUGUGAAGCCUUUUGCAAGGUGAAGCCAUGCAGUGUCCAGAUCACGGCAGUCCCUGCCAGACACCCAGGGAGCUUAGAGCCCAGCAUAGUGAGUGGAAGGAGGUGACAGGCCUCAGCUUGGGUUUUCCUUUGGUCUCAUCACCAUCACCCUCAACUCCUCCCUUUCAUCAUAAUCACCACCACCAUCAUCAUAUCAGAGCCAACAUCCACUGGCCAAUCACUAGGUGCUGGGUUCUCCACUUGACAUGAUGAUCUUCAUUUUACAGAUAUAGAACCAAAGCACAGAGAGGUUAGAAACCUGCCAUGGGUCCACAGGAAGCAGCAAUGAAACUCUAAUGUAGGCAGGCUAGCUAAAGUUGUCUGUCAUCUCUGUUAUUUAUUUAUUUUUUAACCUGGAAAUAAUCUCAGACUUAAAGAGUUGUAUGGUACAAAGAACGCUCCUACAUCCUUACCCAGAUCCACUAAUGCUAAUUUGACACAUUUGUUUUACCAUUCUUUUUCUGCACUGUUUAAAAAUAAGCUAGAGACAUUUUGCCCCUUGAGCUCCUAAUACUUCAGCAUCUAUUUCCUAAGAAUAAGGACAUUCUCUCAUAUCACAUAAAAUCAGGAAAUUAAUACUGAUAACAUACUGUUAUGAAUCCAUGGUCUCUAUUUUAUGAUCCAGAAUCCAAACUGGGCUGAAGUCUGCCAGCCCAGUAGCAUGUCUCUCUAGUCUCCCUGGAUCUUGGCAGUUUCUCAGUCUUUCCUUCCUUUUCAUGACCUUGACAAUUUUUAAUAGAAUCAGAUAUUUUCUAGUCUGUUCCUCAGUUUGGGCUCGCCUGAUGUUUCCUCGUUAAACUCGGGACAUGCACCUCUGUGUGGGGUCAGAGUCCACAUGCUUAACUGUUAAUAUGACCCUAUUCUACCUGAGUCCUUCUGGGACACUUCACAGUGAGGCAGACAGGAUCACCAAGGACCCAGAAAAUCCAUCCCGUGUAAGAUGCUUGAAGGAGUAGGGCUCCUUCCUUGGGGAAAAGGAGCCCCUGGACCCCAGCUAUUCUUCAAACACCCAAGGGGCUGUGUAGCAAGAGUGAGGCUGCUGCAGAGGGUGGGCUGCAGCCCUGUCUAGCUGAAUGGACCAUGUGCAUGAUGGUGACACAUGCAACGCAGGCCCCCAGGCUUAAGGUGGACUUCAGGUACAUGUCAUUCCCAGCAGCCGGCUGCCACUGUGCCCCUAGCACAGCUGUAUGGGCGACUCCAGGGCCCUUAAGUAAGGCCUGUGGAAGCAAGUCACAGUGGGGGGGGCAGUGCUGUGUAAGAGGUAGGAAGAGGACUUCUCUAAGGGUUAGAGCUGUUCUAACAUGAGGGUCAGCUACUGCCAGGAAGGGGUCCAAUAAACCAAGGUCAACCUGUGAGGUGGGGAUGGGGGCUAGACAGCAGGGAGUCCCCCAAAGCAGAACUCACUCCCCUAAAGCAGUAUCAGCUUCACCUGGGAUAUGGGUAAUGCAGAAUCUGGGGCCCCCUCCAGACCUGCUGCACCAGAAUCUCUGGGCGACGGGGGGAAUGUAGGAACCUGUUUUUCUAAUAAAGCUUUCCGGUGAUUCUAGCGUGCAUUCAAUUUUAAGAACUCCUCUGAGGUUUUCUAACACUCCACAAUUCUGCAGUUCCCUGCUUCAAAACACCCAGCAGGGCAUUUCUGUCCAACCCAGAGUAAACAACCGAGGACAACCUCCCCAUCAACAAAGGCUAGUAAACCGUGUUCCCAGCCUCUGCUAAGAUGACAAAUAAGCCUAUGUUCUGGGACAGACUAAGAGGGCUGUCAGACUCUAAGCCCUCUUUUGAAAAAAGUUUCCCCAACCCACACCUUCCCAUACAAUCUGAAUCACUUAUAAUGCUGAAGUGGCAGAAAACCAGCGCAGGUCUCUCGGCCCCGGCUAAAUGAACAAGAGGUGGAGCUUGGGUCUAAAGAAGCCACCAGUGGGAGACCCUGGAGAGGUCAGAUCCAGUAGUGGUCCUUGUAUUGCACGGCCACACUCGCAGGCCAGUAGAGAGAAGGUAGGUCCCUGAGAAAUGAACCACUGAAUGAAGCAAGGCUAGACUCUUCUCUGGUUCCUUAUGGUGACUGGCCACCCCUCUUGGAGGCUCUGGGACCCAGUAUAACCAUGGUAACUCCUAAAUCCCCCCAACCCCAGGAUGUGUCAUGAUUCCUGACACAAGCCCCCAUACUGAAGGAUCCUGGGUGUGUCUUGUCACUGGGUGUGUCUAAAACAACCUGAUCCAAGGGUCUGUACUGGGAACAGCAGUAACAGUGGCAAUAUAGUUGAUCAGGUCCCCAAACGCUCCCUGAAACCUGACCCAGGGUUUAGUACCCAUUGGCCAGCCAGAAAGAGGCGCUAUGUUAUGCUUUUCAAAGAGGAGAAAAGAGACAGCUCCUAGUAUUAAGACUGUACCAAUGAGGAGUUCCCAUUGCAGCUCAGCAUAAACGAACCUGACUAGUAGCUAUGAGGACAAAUGUUCAAUCCCUGGCCUUUCUCAGUGGGUUAAGGAUCCAGUGUUGCCAUCAGCUGUGGUGUAGGUUGCAGAUGCAGCUCAGAUCCAGCAUUGCUGUGUCUGUGGUGUAGGCCGGCAGCUGCAGCUCCGAUUUGAUCCCAAGCCUGGGAACUUCUAUAUGCCUCACAUGCGGCCCUAAAAAGAAAAAAAAAAAAAAAAGACUACCAGUGAAUGGCUUAAAGACUUGAAUAGGGAGUUUCUGUUGUGGCGCAGUGGUUAACGAAUCCGACUAGGAACCAUGAGGUUGCAGGUUCAGUCCCUGCCCUUGCUCAGUGGGUUAACGAUCCGGCGAUGCCAUGAGCUGUGGUGUAGGUUGCAGACUCGGCCCGGAUCCCGUGUUGCUGUGGCUCUGGCAUAGGCCGGUGGCUACAGCUCCGAUUGGACCCCUAGCCUGGGAA
rnacentral:lncRNA from 1 species